GUGGGUUGGGGCGGGCUCUG
rnacentral:miRNA from 1 species